UUUCCCCCGCUGUGGACUAAGCAUAUCAAUAAGCGGAGGAAAAGAAACUAACAAGGAUUCCCCUAGUAACUGCGAGUGAAGCGGGAAAAGCUCAAAUUUAAAAUCUGGCGGUCUUUGGUCGUCCGAGUUGUAAUCUAGAGAAGUAAUGCCCGUGCUGGACCGUGUAUAAGUCUCCUGGGAUGGGGCGUCAUAGAGGGUGAGAAUCCCGUCUUUGACACGGACUACCAGUGCAUUGUGGUAUGCUCUCAAAGAGUCGAGUUGUUUGGGAAUGCAGCUCAAAAUGGGUGGUAAAUUCCAUCUAAAGCUAAAUAUUGGCGAGAGACCGAUAGCGAACAAGUACCGUGAGGGAAAGAUGAAAAGAACUUUGGAAAGAGAGUUAAACAGUACGUGAAAUUGCUGAAAGGGAAACGCUUGAAGUCAGUCGCGUUGGCCGGGGAUCAGCCUUGCUUUUGCAUGGUGUACUUUCUGGUUGACGGGUCAGCAUCAAUUUUGACCGCUGGAAAAGGGCCUGGGGAAUGUGGCAGCUUCGGCUGUGUUAUAGCCCCUGGUCACAUACGGCGGUUGGGAUUGAGGAACUCAGCACGCCGCAAGGCCGGGUUUCGACCACGUUCGUGCUUAGGAUGCUGGCAUAAUGGCUUUAAGCGACCCGUCUUGAAACACGGACCAAGGAGUCUAACAUGCCUGCGAGUAUUUGGGUGAAAAACCCGAGUGCGCAAUGAAAGUGAAAGUUGAGAUCCCUGUCGUGGGGAGCAUCGACGCCCGGACCAGAACUUUUGGGACGGAUCCGCGGUGGAGCAUGUAUGUUGGGACCCGAAAGAUGGUGAACUAUGCCUGAAUAGGGUGAAGCCAGAGGAAACUCUGGUGGAGGCUCGUAGCGAUUCUGACGUGCAAAUCGAUCGUCAAAUUUGGGUAUAGGGGCGAAAGACUAAUCGAACCAUCCAAUGGC
rnacentral:rRNA from 1 species